GACGAACGCUGGCGGCGUGCCUAAUACAUGCAAGUAGAACGCUGAAGCGAGGAGCUUACUCUUCUUGGAUGAGUUGCGAACGGGUGAGUAACGCGUAGGUAACCUGCCUUGUAGCGGGGGAUAACUAUUGGAAACGAUAGCUAAUACCGCAUAACAAUGGAUGACACAUGUCAUUUAUUUGAAAGGGGCAAUUGCUCCACUACAAGAUGGACCUGCGUUGUAUUAGCUAGUAGGUGAGGUAAUGGCUCACCUAGGCGACGAUACAUAGCCGACCUGAGAGGGUGAUCGGCCACACUGGGACUGAGACACGGCCCAGACUCCUACGGGAGGCAGCAGUAGGGAAUCUUCGGCAAUGGGGGCAACCCUGACCGAGCAACGCCGCGUGAGUGAAGAAGGUUGUCGGAUCGUAAAGCUCUGUUGUAAGUCAAGAACGGGUGUGAGAGUGGAAAGUUCACACUGCGACGGUAGCUUACCAGAAAGGGACGGCUAACUACGUG
rnacentral:rRNA from 1 species